UGCUUAUUGCUAAUAAAAAUAGUAAGUAAAUCCUGCCCACUGAUAAUUUAAAUGGCCGCGGUACCUUAACCGUGCUAAGGUAGCAUAAUAACUUGUCUAUUAAUUGUAGACUAGAAUGAACGGGUAAACGAAAUUAAAACUAUUACACUACAUCUAAUAAAAAUUAACCUAUAAGUGAAGAUGCUUAUAUAAAAUAAAAGGACAAGAAGACCCUAUGAGCUUUAAUUUAUAUUAUUACCAAUUACACAUAAAUCUUGGUUGGGGCGACCUAGGAUAAAUCAUCCUAAAUUAAAAAGACUGUCUAUCUAAAUAAAGAACCUAUAAUGAUCAUCAACAAAGUUACCUUAGGGAUAACAGGCUAAUCUCAUUCUAGAGUUCCUAUCUACAAUGAGGAUUGGCACCUCGAUGUUGGCUUAGAUUUCCUUCAUAUCGCAAAAGAUAUAUAAGUA
rnacentral:rRNA from 1 species